ACGCUGGCGGCAGGCCUAACACAUGCAAGUCGAGCGGUAGAGAGAAGCUUGCUUCUCUUGAGAGCGGCGGACGGGUGAGUAAUGCCUAGGAAUCUGCCUGGUAGUGGGGGAUAACGUUCGGAAACGGACGCUAAUACCGCAUACGUCCUACGGGAGAAAGCAGGGGACCUUCGGGCCUUGCGCUAUCAGAUGAGCCUAGGUCGGAUUAGCUAGUUGGUGGGGUAAUGGCUCACCAAGGCGACGAUCCGUAACUGGUCUGAGAGGAUGAUCAGUCACACUGGAACUGAGACACGGUCCAGACUCCUACGGGAGGCAGCAGUGGGGAAUAUUGGACAAUGGGCGAAAGCCUGAUCCAGCCAUGCCGCGUGUGUGAAGAAGGUCUUCGGACUGUAAAGCACUUUAAGUUGGGAGGAAGGGCAGUUACCUAAUACGUGAUUGUUUUGACGUUACCGACAGAAUAAGCACCGGCUAACUCUGUGCCAGCAGCCGCGGUAAUACAGAGGGUGCAAGCGUUAAUCGGAAUUACUGGGCGUAAAGCGCGCGUAGGUGGUUCGUUAAGUUGGAUGUGAAAUCCCCGGGCUCAACCUGGGAACUGCAUUCAAAACUGACGAGCUAGAGUAUGGUAGAGGGUGGUGGAAUUUCCUGUGUAGCGGUGAAAUGCGUAGAUAUAGGAAGGAACGCCAGUGGCGAAGGCGACCACCUGGACUGAUACUGACACUGAGGUGCGAAAGCGUGGGGAGCAAAC
rnacentral:rRNA from 1 species